AGAGUUUGAUCAUGGCUCAGGAUGAACGCUAGCGGCAGGCUUAACACAUGCAAGUCGAGGGGUAUAGUUCUUCGGAAUUAGAGACCGGCGCACGGGUGCGUAACGCGUAUGCAAUCUACCUUUUACAGAGGGAUAGCCCAGAGAAAUUUGGAUUAAUACCUCAUAGUAUUAUGAAAUGGCAUCAUUUUAUAAUUAAAGUCACAACGGUAAAAGAUGAGCAUGCGUCCCAUUAGCUAGUUGGUAAGGUAACGGCUUACCAAGGCUACGAUGGGUAGGGGUCCUGAGAGGGAGAUCCCCCACACUGGUACUGAGACACGGACCAGACUCCUACGGGAGGCAGCAGUGAGGAAUAUUGGUCAAUGGGCGCAAGCCUGAACCAGCCAUGCCGCGUGCAGGAUGACGGUCCUAUGGAUUGUAAACUGCUUUUGUACGGGAAGAAACAACUCUACGUGUAGAGUCUUGACGGUACCGUAAGAAUAAGGAUCGGCUAACUCCGUGCCAGCAGCCGCGGUAAUACGGAGGAUCCAAGCGUUAUCCGGAAUCAUUGGGUUUAAAGGGUCCGUAGGCGGUUUAGUAAGUCAGUGGUGAAAGCCCAUCGCUCAACGGUGGAACGGCCAUUGAUACUGCUAGACUUGAAUUAUUAGGAAGUAACUAGAAUAUGUAGUGUAGCGGUGAAAUGCUUAGAGAUUACAUGGAAUACCAAUUGCGAAGGCAGGUUACUACUAAUGGAUUGACGCUGAUGGACGAAAGCGUGGGUAGCGAACAGGAUUAGAUACCCUAGUAGUCC
rnacentral:rRNA from 1 species